GUCUUUGUAGUAUAACAUAAUACUCUGGUCUUGUAAACCAGAAAUGGAGAACUUUCUCCCCAAGACA
rnacentral:tRNA from 1 species